rnacentral:rRNA from 1 species
UGGGGAAUAUUGCACAAUGGAGGGAACUCUGAUGCAGCAACGCCGCGUGCGGGAUGACGGCCUUCGGGUUGUAAACCGCUUUCAGCCAUGACGAAGCUUUUGUGACGGUAGUGGUAGAAGAAGCACCGGCUAACUACGUGCCAGCAGCCGCGGUGAUACGUAGGGUGCGAGCGUUGUCCGGAAUUAUUGGGCGUAAAGAGCUUGUAGGCGGUUUGUCGCGUCGAUAGUGUAAACACGCAGCUUAACUGUGUGCCUGCUGUCGAUACGGGCUGACUAGAGGAGGGUAGGGGAGAAUGGAAUUCCCGGUGGAGCGGUGGAAUGUGCAGAUAUCGGGAGGAACACCAGUGGCGAAGGCGGUUCUCUGGACCUUUCCUGACGCUGAGAAGCGAAAGCGUGGGUAGCAAACAGG